rnacentral:tRNA from 1 species
GGGGCAGUAGCGAAGUCUGGUUUAUCGCCCCGGAUUUAUAAUCCGGUGAAGAACCAAGGUUACUGGUUAGGACGCUCUCAAAGAACCUUGGAAUCGCAGGUUCGAAUCCUGCCUGCCCCU